GCGCUCGCUUUGGCAGCACAUAUACUAAAAUUGGAAUGAUACAGAAAAGGUUAGCAUGGCCCCUGUGCAAGGAUGACAGGCAAAUUCAUGAAGUGUUCCAUAUU
rnacentral:snRNA from 1 species